rnacentral:lncRNA from 1 species
GGGGAACUCAACAUAAUUCUCAGCAUGGUGGCUGCUGCUGCUGGUUCUCCCAGGCUCCUCUUGCUGAGUGUGCUGAGAAACACAGGAGCUACAGAUGAUGGUUGUUUACCUUUCCUGGGCCUCCUUUGUAGAUGACAUCAACAAGAUCAAUCAACAACAGCCCCAGGUGCUUGGAGUUUAUGAUUUUUGAAGAAUAAAAAGAAAAAAAAAAGCCAGAAACCACCUCUUUGAGCCCAGGCCAAGUUAGUGGCUCGAUGGCACUGAAGGUUACUUUUGUAGCUGAGGACUGAAGAGGAGCUCCAGUUGUGUGGGGCUGUAGUUUAAAUGACCAGAUACCUGGCUAGAUACAGGCAGCUUGUGUGCAAAGUCUGAGCAUCCACUUGAUUCAUCCAAACACAUCAUAGCUGUGCCGUUAUCAGAGAGCUGUGGUAUAUGUCAGGAAGUCCACAAGUGAAGAAUGUUUAAAAACUUUGACUGCUGUCACACCAACUCAGCUAUAGAAGAGCUGUCAUGGUACUCCAGCAUCUACAGAAGGAAAGCAAGAACUAGAGGCAGUGGGAACAAGCUGGAUUGUUUGAUGAAAAUCAUCAGCUGCAAUGAAGAGAAGCCCUGCUGCCUCACUCAUAAAUGUAUUCCUUUA